ensembl:lncRNA
GAAGAAGUAGAAGAAGAACGACACAUGACUAGAGUGCGAGUGUGUGGUGUUGAGUGUGAGUGAAUUGUGUCCGCUGUGGCAGAAACAAUUAGCUUCUUUUUCAACUUUUUUCUUUUCUUUUUUGAGCUUUGAUAUCUGUGCUGCAUUGAAUAACGAAACAAGGCUUACUGAGGACCCCGGCGUCGGUAACCAGUGUAUCAGAGGGAAACAUGGCUGCCCAGGACAUGAAUACUAGUCUAGAGUCCCUGACACGGCACCACGGAGUGAAAAUGUCUGCGGUGAAUGUGGAAGAGUGCAUUUUAGCCAUUGGAGAUAUUAUUGGCCAUAAAUGUGUUUUAGCGGCAUCAAGAAUGAAUAACGCUACAGUCUUGUUUUUGAGUUCAGUAGAGAAAGCAAACGAAGUAGUAGAGAAAGGAGUAGUCAUUCGCGGGUUGUUUACCCCAGUGCUUCCCUUUUCCACCCCCGCUAAGAAAGUCGCUUUGUCUAAUGUUCCGUUAGAUGAAAAGCCAACAACAAAACGCUCACGUCUGGGAAAGGUAGUUAGUCCCGUGACAAAAUAACUCUCGGAAGUAAAUCGGACUUGAUUAGACAUGUGGUAUCUUUCACCUCAGAAGGGAGAUAAGGAAAGGACAAGACAGCUACAGAGAAAAAAAGUUGGAGGAGCACCUUCAACAGAACAACACGAGGGAGGUCUGGAGGGGACUGAAAACAAUCUCAGACCUCAGACCUGUCAGCGACUCAACCUUUCCCUCUUGGGUCAUUAGGCACCCCUUCCUCCACCCUCAGGGCUUCAGGCAUAUCAGCAUCAUCCAUCGCACACCUCAGAGCGUCUGAGAUAUCAGCAUCACACAGUUCACAUCCCUCACUGUAGGAGGUUUCACACCCGACACCACUCAUCAGGGAUCAUCAAUAACUCCCCCUUGUGGUCUCUCUCUGACAGUCAAUCAGGUGAAGAAGGAGAUAAAGAAGAUCAAGGCAAGAAAGGACUGGACCCGGAUGGAAUUAGCUCCAGACUGCUUAAAGAUCAGCUCAGUGCGGUCAUCCUGCACAUCUUUAACCUGAGCUGAGACUAGCGCAAGUUCCAGUACUGUGGAAGACUUCCUGUGUGGUUCCAGUACCCAAAACUGCGCAUCCUAGGGAGCCCAACCACUUCAGACCGGUAGCCUUAACUUCACACCUGAUGAAGUCCAUGGAGAGGAUUGUACUGCGAUAGCUGCGGACCCUAGUGAGCUCAGAGUUAGACCGCCUACAGUUUGCUUACUGACCAGGCAUUGGGGUUGAUGACGCGCUUAUUUAUCCGUUGCACAGAUCACUUCUACACCUGGAGAAUACUGGAAGCAUUGUGAGGAUCAUAUUGUUUUUAUUUUUCCAGUGCUUUCAAUACAAUUCAGCCAGCACUACUUAGGGGGAAGCUUUUGAGAGCUGGAAUCGACCGCCAUCUGGCUGCAUGUGUCAUCAACUAUCUCCCUGACAGACCACAGUAUUUGAGAACUGUAUGUCUGAUGUGGUGGUUAGCAGCACGGGAGCAUCACAGGAUACAGGAUACAGGCCACAUGCAGAAGUUCUCUGAUGAUACGGUCACUGUUGGAUGAGUGUCACAGGAGAACGAUCAGGAAUUCCGGGAGGUCAUCGCUGACUUUGUAAACUGGUGUGAAUUAAACCACCUCUGCCUCAAUGCCAGCAAGACAGAGGAGAUGGUAGUCGACCUCUGCAGGAGGCCACCCAGGUCUAUGCUGGUGAACGUCCAUGGUGUUCACCUCAACAAUAAACUGGACUGAUCCAUAAACACUGAUGUCCUGUAUAAAAAGGGCCAAAGUCGUCUCCGCCUGCUGAGGAGACUGAGGUCUUUUGGUGUGUGCAGAACCCUGCUAAUAUCGUUCUAUGACACUCUGGUAGCAUCUGUGAUCUUCUAUGCAGUAGUACUCCUGGGGAGUUGGGAGCACAGAGAGGGACAGGAAACGUCUUAACAAACUGGUUAACAGGGUUAGCUCUGUCCUGGUCUAUCUUCUGGAUGGUAUAGAGGUGGUGGGGGUGAGGUGCAUUUUCGCUAAGCUGGUGUCAAUCAUGGGCAAUUCCUCUCACCCCCUGUAUGAGACAUUGGAGUUUCUGAGCAGCUCCUUCAGCAGCAGACUGCUGCACCCUCAGUGAAGGAGCACCACCGCAGGUCCUUCAUCCCUCCAGCAGUCAGACUCUUUAUUACAAAAAAACAACAUGAUGUAGCACUGCUAGCUAUUUUGCAUCAUCAACCUACACAUUCACAAUAAUUCUGCCAUAUGAACUUUUAUUAUUUGUUGCUCACCCUCGAUUGUUAACCGUGCAAUUAUCUAUUUAUGUAUAUAAACGAGGUUUUACUCAUCUGUAUAUAUUCAUAUUUGUAUUCAUCUGUACAUCCUUGGCAUCCUUCCAUCUUCGGGAGACGAUGGUGUCGCAUCUGUUUCAGGUGAAUUUAUUGUCUGUACGUACAUUGAGGUGUUCGUAGUGUACAUAUAUUACCAUUAUUAUUUCUCACCACUGAGCCGUCAUUGUGACGUGUCGCCUGAGGUCACGUGACUAUUGUUCUCGUUCUUCUAGUGGAGAGCCUGUACACUUGUGGUGACUGAUAGCAUGAUAGUGCUCUUUAGCAGGGAUGUGCAGAGUGUUCCUCAGGGGAAGGAGCUCAAAUGUAUGAAGGAAAAAAAAGGCUAUAUUACCACAGAGCUAAUUUUACUAAUUGUAAUUUAAUUAUGUAUUCUUAUCCCUAUGGUUGACAGUGUACACAGACUGUGUGUGGUCACAAUAUUGAAUAUGAGAAUGACACUACUAAUAUAACCUAAUGCAAUUUUUUUUUACGUUUAUAGAAAUAAUUACAACAAAAUGGCAACUUUUAGUGGAGAGAGGAAUCUGAAGAAUCUUUAAAAGAAAACUUAAACACUAUUUAAUAAAAAAACCUACAGUAUCACCAUCCACAAAUGUAGUGACUCACCCACUGUAUGUCACUUACUGUAAAAGUCGGUAAAACUAUUCAUUUCACAAUUAAAUUUAAUUGCAGCACUCCGAUUUCCAUAAAACUGCAGCACUGCUUGCUGAACUGGUUUUUGUUUUGUUUUUUUUGUCUCAAAGUUAGUCAUUUUUGCCUUCUAAAUUUCAUUUUUAAAAGAUAAAUUGAGAUUUUCAUGAUCUUAUAUCACAAUUUUUUUUCACAUUACUUAGGCCAUAGGACAAAAUUUACCGUAUUAGUUAACAAGGGGCAAGUUACGAUACGUGUAUAGUAUAACUAUAUUAGUCAUGUUGAAAAGUGGGUGAGUAUUAUUCUGUGCUGCGACUCUGCAGCUCAGGCUGAAUGGAGCAGACGCUUUCAGUUUAUAGAGUCUGUUGAACGUCUCCAACUGAACUAAAUGGUUUAUAUAAGAGCAAAA